AUGUCCACCGACGCCGAACGUGCCACCGCCGAGAAAGCUGAAGCUGACAAGAAGGCCGUCGAGGACGCCGCUGCUGCCACCAAAGCCGCGGCCUCUGCAUGGCCUACUGGAGGCAUUUUCGGCAAUGUGCUUUUAGUGAGAGGAGACGUUCCCGUUGAUGAUGAGACGUCUACGUGGGAAACUUCUGAUAUUCUUCAUCCGCAUCUUCUUUGUUCGACCUGCUAUGUGGAGCUCCCGGAGAAGAACAAGUCUGGCUGCACCCGGUGCUUCGCAGUAGAGCGUAUACUGCAGUCUAUCCAGGUCCUUUGCCCCUAUGCGGAGUAUGGCUGCACAGCCAAGAUGCCCUACCAUGAGAUGGAGGAGCAUGAGAUGAAGUGCAUGCACGCGCCAUGCUUCACUGGAUCAAACGAAGGGCAGCCCAUGGCCCUGCACGAUGGGUUACCGUCGGACUCUUAG
rnacentral:rRNA from 1 species